CCGAUCCGGAAACGCUCCCCGGCUAAAACAUUCAGAAAAAUAGAAAACGUUCUCGGUUCGCUCAGCCGGCAUUGUGUUUUCAACAAUGCCACGCCUAAAACCAACAGUGACACGCCUAAGACCUCACCCACGAUCAAGAAAUAUGGCAGAUCGAGAUGCCUCUCCUGGGUUUCUGCUAGUUUGGCUUACAGGACCCUGACACAGCAACUAUUCAGCUCAAUACUGUCUCUGUCUCUGUCAAGUUUAAGAUUUAUGCCAUCAAGUGUUUCAUUCAAUCUAUAAUUCAAGUAUCAAGCUAGUAUCAAGAGCACAGGACUGUAUUUGCAUGACCAAAUGUUGUUGUAUUGUUGUAUGUUAUUAAUUUUUUGAUUUUUAAUUGUCAAAAAUAUUUUAAUAUAA